AUAAUACUACCUCCGUCCGGAAAUACUUGUCCUAUAGAUGAAUGUAUCUAGACUUAUUUUAAUUAUAGAUACAUCCAUUAUAUCCAUUUUUAGGACAAGUAUUUCCGGACGGAGGGAGUAUUUG
rfam:Hordeum vulgare subsp. vulgare, WGS project CAJW01000000 data, contig: morex_contig_137657